rnacentral:rRNA from 1 species
UACGGAAGGUCCGGGCGUUAUCCGGAUUUAUUGGGUUUAAAGGGAGCGCAGGCCGCCCCUUAAGCGUGUUGUGAAAUGCCGCGGCUCAACCGUGGCACUGCAGCGCGAACUGGAGGCCUUGAGUGCACACAGGGAUGCCGGAAUUCAUGGUGUAGCGGUGAAAUGCUUAGAUAUCACGAAGAACUCCGAUUGCGAAGGCAGCCUACCGUAGCGUUACUGACGCUGAGGCUCGAAGGUGCGGGUAUCGAACAGG